ensembl:lncRNA
CGGAGCCCCCGGCACCCUGCGGCCGGGCGUCACCCACGCGUGGGGCGGGGGCGGCGGGACUCGGCCGGCAACAGCCGUCGAGGAAAUCGGGACCGAGGAGCGGCGGGGCGGCCGAGGAACAAUAUGAAGUUAUUUUCUCUGGCACUCUCUGCAAACAGUAGAAGUUUUGCCUGAAAUUGGGAAUGUUCUAUCCAGAGUUUUUCAAGCAAAUAUCAAGAUUUCCAGCAAUUUCAAUAUUCUUUUGAUCGGGCGCUUAAUCUUCUAGAAAGUGCUGGGCUUAAAAGGAUUAUUGUGUAUGUGGUGCUGACUGCAUAUGGAGUUUGGAGUUCGAGUUGUGUCUAAGGAAGAAGAAAGAAAUUUACUAACAGAUUUUCUAACACCUUGAGUUGACUCUGAACAUCUUUUAAAAACACCAAAGGUUGUGCAGGAGUUGAUUAAAGAUGUGACUAGACCUUCCUUAUUAGGCAUGUAUUGAGUUGAAACUGCUAUAUGAGAAAUGGGCAGGACUGUAUCUCCAGCUUUGAAUUCCUAUCCGGUCCUUCUAAAGAAAUUCUGUUGUGUUACUGACAGCUGAUGCAUGAAGUGAAGUUUGGUGACAGGACUUAAUGUUUUUAAUAACAUCAAAACUACUUGCAGGAAGAGAUUCUUAACAUUCAUUGUGAAAGGCUGAAGGUCGUGCAAUGUUGUACAGUCACUAAUGUUAUGAAGAUAGGAGUCUGCCCCCAGAAACUUGUGCUGCAGCGGCAAGACAGAACACACUCAGCACUGGGUGGGACUUGGAGAGCGUCCUGGGAAAGAGUAGGAGCUCCUGAAUCAGUGAAUCAUAUGAUAGCACAAAUCUCUAUCGGUGGAGCCUACAGCUGCAGACAAACCUUGAAGAAGGUCUCCUACAGCAGCAUGAAAGGCUGCUGACCAGAGGCCAUUAGAACAUGACUGGGAAGAGGAAGACUUGGCUGUGACUGGGCUGGUACCUUCACAGAAGGCCCUCGAACAACUGUUUAUUUCCAGAGUCUUCCCGGGUGGAUAUGACAGCCUGAAGUGCCCAGAUUUCAGACAGCCUAUUCCUUGUUAGCCCCCUGACCCACAGGAGUGGACAGCAGUCAAGAGUGGUGAAGUUUGGAUUCUCAUCCAGAAAGCCAGAAGGCUUGUGAGAACAGAAAAGCCAUGUAACUGAAGUCUACUUCGUGGCAAAUGCAUUUGCUCAAAGCUGCAGAUUUUAUAAUUUGAGAAUGUGUGUUAGAAAGUUCGAGACUAAUGAGCAUCUACAUUAAUUUUGGAGUACGGAAGGGAUUUAAUCCUUAAACAGAGAGCAAGAGUAUAUGAAUAUCACUGAGAAACUGCAAAGGGAACAAGACUACAAGAGAAGCCUAUUUAAUUCUAUCUGUAAUUCUCUGAAACCAGUAUGAAGCUAUGAUUCAAGUUAACGUUGUUACCAUCGUCCCUAUCUGAGAAGAAACUGUUUCUGUCAAUACUUGAAUGUGAUGGGGAUGAGCAGGAGGAAGAUGUGAAGUCUAAUCUCAGCAGAUGGUUGUCAAAACUGCGCAGAGUGACUGAGAAUGUAGAAAGAAAUAAGAAGAGAGUUUCCCCCAUUUUGUCUUUAUGUCAUGAAUAGUGAAUAAAUCAUACAUUAUAGACAAAUCAAAAAUCG